rnacentral:rRNA from 1 species
UACGGAGGGAGCUAGCGUUGUUCGGAAUUACUGGGCGUAAAGCGCGCGUAGGCGGCUUUGUAAGUUAGAGGUGAAAGCCCGGGGCUCAACUCCGGAACUGCCUUUAAGACUGCAUCGCUUGAAUCCGGGAGAGGUGAGUGGAAUUCCGAGUGUAGAGGUGAAAUUCGUAGAUAUUCGGAAGAACACCAGUGGCGAAGGCGGCUCACUGGACCGGUAUUGACGCUGAGGUGCGAAAGCGUGGGGAGCAAACAGGAUUAGAAACCCCCGUAGUCC